CGUCCGAUCAAAAUUGGUCAAAAAUAAAAUCAGUGCAUUAAUUUGCUCCCACACUUCCCAAACAGGAGACCAUCGAUACUUCUCCAUCAACACCCCAAAGCAGCAACAAAACCAGACCCUUUUCUUUUGUCUUUCUUCUUCGUUUCCUUUCUAACCAAAAUAAGAAACCCCCUAUCCCCCAUAGCUGGUCGCCGUCUGCCGCUAGGCUGCAAGAUUCACCUAUUUUUUGGUUUGGCCAGCCCGGAUCCGUGAAUAUAAAAAAAAAAUAUACUCCAAAAUGAUGCUACAACAUAUCAACAGCUUCAAAUCCGCCAUUAAUAGCCCGGAGAAAGCUGCAAAAUGGAGAGAUCCUCUACAAAAAAUUCAAGAUUCAAAUUUUCAAAUAAUUUUCCCUCUUAAUUGUUAUAUUUUUAGUUUUAAAUCGGGAGUCUCAGGUCCGGAUUUGAGCCUAUAAAAGGUGGUUCCAUUCAUCUCGAGGGCAGGUUGAAGGGGAGAAAAAAGAGAAAAAUAAGGAAUUUCGAUAAAACAGUAAUGAAAAGGGGUCUUGAAUUUUUUUUUUUAAAAUCAAAGGUGAAAAAUCGAAAAGAAGAGGAAGAAGGAUCAAAAAUUGGAGAAGAAAAAAAAAGGGGGUGGAUGAUCUGUGAAAAAAAAAUCAUGAAAAAGAAAUCAAAAAGAAAGAAAAAUAAAAAAAUAAUCGACAUCAGUGAAUGCCGAGAGGUGCAAACAAAGGGGUCUCAAAAUUGUUAGUUUCUUUCUGAUUCUGGUUGAGGUUUGGAGUUCAGUGAUUUGAGUUUCUAGUUGCCGAAAGAUCCCCGACGUUGAGGCCUCAGUGUUGCUGCACCACAAAGUUGAUUCGAUACUCAAAGAUGUGGUGUCUAUGAGAAAGACGAUGUAGCUUGCCAAUAUGUGACGGGCGGUGCAACGCAUUACUGUUCGAGUUGGAGUUUCGCAACAGAACUCAUUUUGAUCCAAGUAUCGGGUCAACCGCCACUAGGAUCGCAGAGCUUCAGAAUUGUAAAAUUUAAAAGCCCAAACUCCUAAUGGAGUCUAGUAUUUCUCAUCUUUUGGUCCAAUUUAUGUUGAGUGUUUUGUAUUUACUAACUCUUAUUGUUUAACUUAGAGUAACUGUAUUAGAUUGUUGAAUUUUUUAUUUUUAUCCC